UACGUAGGGAGCAAGCGUUGUCCGGAAUCAUUGGGCGUAAAGCGCGCGUAGGUGGCUUCGUAAGUCCGUUGUGAAAGUCAAAGGCUCAACCUUUGAAAGCCGAUGGAUACUGCGGAGCUAGAGUACGGAAGAGGCGAGUGGAAUUCCUGGUGUAGCGGUGGAAUGCGCAGAUAUCAGGAGGAACACCAGUGGCGAAGGCAGCUCGCUGGGACGUUACUGACACUGAGGCGCGAAAGCGUGGGGAGCGAACAGG
rnacentral:rRNA from 1 species